rnacentral:lncRNA from 1 species
GGCGUAAGCUGCUGCUCUUAUACCUUAGGAUCUGAGGGUGUCCAGCUUAUGUCAAGUAUUUAAAGAUAGACAAGCUUGGACCUAAAUCCAAUAGAUGCUUGACCGUAGGGCAUCCAAAGAAAAUUAAAGGGUACUACUUCUACCUCACUGCAGAACAAAGGUGUUUGUCAGCAGUCGGGCAGUCUUUUUGGAAAAGAAGUUUCUUGAUAAAGGAGCUAAUGCGUGCAAAAUUAAACUUGAUGAAGUUCAUGAGGUGGAAGGAUUGACACACACAGAAUUGGAUUUGAUUGGUGAAUCAAAUUUGGACCCAAUAGAGAUGCCAUUAAGG